UACGUAGGGUGCAAGCGUUAAUCGGAAUUACUGGGCGUAAAGCGCACGUAGGCGGACACUUAAGUCGAUUGUGAAAUCCCCGGGCUUAACCUGGGAACUGCAGUCGAUACUGGGUGUCUAGAGUAUGGUAGAGGAAAGUGGAAUUCCCGGUGUAGCGGUGAAAUGCGCAGAUAUCAGGAGGAACACCGGUGGCGAAGGCGGGUCUCUGGGCCGAUGACUGACGCUGAGGCACGAAAGCUAGGGGAGCAAACAGG
rnacentral:rRNA from 1 species